GAAGCACAAUAAUUAGAUUGAGGGUGAUUCUUUUCCAUUACAUGAUAAAGUUGGUAAAUUGUUGCUGGCUCAAAAACAAAUUAUCACGAAUGCUAUAGAGGAGGCUCGGAAGCAGAUUAUUCCUUUCGAUCCUCAAGUUCAUGUCUUCGGGGGAUCCCCUGUUAACUCAGAUUAUUCUGCGGAUGAAGAGGGUUUCAUUUUGGUUUCAAAGCGUCCAAAGUUAAGAAUUUAUUGCAGAGAUCUAUAAAAAACAAUAAAAAAAUCAACUAAGUCCGUAGCAGCCAGCCACCAGGAAGCAAGUGAUAAGCAAGAAACAUAAAUGAAAAUUAUAUAUUGAAAUGCUCGGGGUUUAGGAAAUGCUUCCACUCAUCGGGUAUUAAUGAAACUGGUGGGUAUCAUGCGUCGGUGGUGUUUAUUUCAGAACCUUUUAUUGCUUUGUCAGCUAUUUAUCAUUAUUUCUUUUGGCAUUCUUUGCGUUUAGUCUCUGCGGCUGCUAAUAAUCAAGGUCCCUUGGGGCCCAAUCUUUGACUUUUGUGUGUUUAGACUUGUCUAUGCAGGUUAUUUCGACUUCUUCACAAUAUCUGACUAUCUCUUAUGCCUUAGAUUCUGAUUUUUGUGUUUUUCCUUGUGUAUGCCAGAACCACUUAUUCUGACGGACGAGUUUUAGGGGAGGAACUCAGGGCCAUCGAUCUCCUCUUCUCAUGGUCACUCUUUGGAUUGCACUUGGAGAUUUUAAUCGUGUUUUGGGUGCCCAUGAAAAUAGAGAAUGUGGUUAGAAAGCUCAAAGCUUAUUCCUUUUGUUUCGAACACAUGGGCUGUGCUCCACUUUCUGGGCGAUCCAAUGUCAUCCCUAGCAGCUAAGUUACGAGUUCUUAAAGGCAUUUAGAGAUUGUUGAUGACUGAGUGGCUCAAGAUUAUAUCGAUAGGUUUUGUGCCAACGAAUGUGCUAGAUUUAGGGGAUUUUUUCUCUCAUCGGAGGGUGGGGUGCUUGGUGCUUAGCGCUUUUGCAUCAAAUGCAACAUUUGCAAAUUCAGUUGAUGCAAAAGUUCUUACUUUCAUUGAGGUUGUACAUAUAGCUUGGGUCAGAGAUUGAAAAACAUUCAUGGUUGAAAAUCAUUCAUGGAUUGAAACAGUCUUCAUGUUGGUUUAAGGCUUCUGAUGCAGUCUCUUGGUUUCUUAUGGUGGAUUGAAAGAAUUGUCUCUGGCGACUUCGUCAUAUGAGAUUUAUGUGUACACAUAUUUAUAGAGAAGGAAAUCAGGUUGCAAAUGCUUUAACUUUAUUUGGGGUAGAGAUUUAUGCUUAAUACUGGUGGUUUACGAUUCCAAAUUUUAUAGCCUCUGCCCAUGCACAUGACUUUCCGUCUUGUCCUUUAUCAUUUUUGUUAAUCGUUUUAUCUUUGUGGGUCUUGGCAUAAUCGCCCCGUGUAUCUUUUUGUUUAAUUUCAUUUGUUGGUCUUGGCAUCAUAAUAACAGAGGCUUAUAACAGAAUUGCUAAGUGUACGAUCGAGAUAGUGCCAAUGGUCAUUAGUAUAAGAGGUUGCUUACUUUGUAAGCUUGGUAGUUAUCAGAUAAGGAUGAUAUUGUAACUAGUAUAGAUAGUAAAAUGUACUAUUUCAUUACCUUUUAAUGAGAAAUGGGAACCUUCAGUUGCUAUUCUUUUAUCUCUGCAACUCUCUGCUUUUUGCAAUUCUUUCACUCACAAACCUUAAUUCCAUGACUAUUUUAAUGGUAUCCAGAGCAGGCGAUUCAACUGUGGAAUUGCUGGGUUCUUGAUUAGAGCACUUUUUUCGUGCUUUGCUCUAGCAGGUUUACCUAGAGAAUAUGCAAUAAUAUGGACUGUAAUUUUGGCUCGAGAAACAUAUAUUUUUCUUAAAGAAUUCAAGGUUUGACUUCUGAAUACAGAGAGAGAUAUUGACAAUAUGGAAAAUACUCAAUCUCAUUCCAUGGCUGUUAUGUAUUUGCAAGGUUCGUCAUCUUCUCAAGGAGGACUACUGGUUAUUCUUCUCAGUCUAAUUUCAAUUAUGGUAUUUCUUCAGUUAUUGUUGGCACGGUAACUCAAGUACUACUUCAACAUCAUCAUUUAAGCUUAGUCAAGUUCCAUCUCAGCAUUUUCAACCUCCUCCAGCACCACCUCCUAUGUUCCAGCAAGCACAACCAUCACCUCCACUUCCAUAUGGUUUUGGUUAUGGUUAUACUAGUAGCACUCCUCCUAGUUUCAACAAUGGCCCUUGACCAUUUUAUAAUCAAAGAAUUAAUAAUGAUGGUCAGCAAAAAGGUGGAUUUAAGUCAUGCAACAAGGGUAGGAAUUCUAAUUCUGGGUUUAGACAACAAUGGUCUGGGAAUAUUGAUUCAAGGUUCAAUAUGCAACUUAAAUGUCAAAUUUGUCAGCGCAGAGGCCAUACAGCUUCAAAUUGUUUUAUUGAAGUUCCAAUUCCAAUUCUAACUUGUCCGGAUGUUAAAUCUAUGACAAAUGUGGGCAUAUAGCUAUGGAAUGCUAUCAUCACAGUAACUUUGCAUAUCAAGAAGCUCCUCCACCACCUUAUCUUUAAGUUCAGGAAGAUUAUUCAUAUUAGCCAUCUUCUUCCAAUGGUUUUCUAGCAUCAGUUCAUCCAUCUUUAUCUCUUAGUGCCAUGACUACCUAACAAGUUAAUCUUCAUGAUGUUUAGAUUGUUGAUACAGGGACCUCUUAUCAUACGACCUCAUUCUCGUAUACUUAAAUUGUCUAAUGUUAUUCAUGUUCCACAAAUAACUGAAGAUUUGCUUUCUGUUAAGCCGUUGUGCAAGGAUAAUAAAUGUUGGUUUAUUUGUGAUGAUGUUUGGUUUUAUGUGCAGGACAAGGUAACCAAGGAAAUCCUUUAUAAGGGCAAGAGUAGGUCACAUGAGUUGUUUCAAAUUCCUGAUGUCAAGUUAAUGCAUUUUCCUUCACAAUCUUUUGUAACUUCUACUUAUCUGGGAUAACAGAUCAAGUUUUCACUUUGGCAUCAGAGGUUGGGUCAUCCUACCAAUGAAGUCUUGUCCUUUAUGUUGGAUAGGUCUAAGAUUUCAUAUGUAGUAGAUGAUGUAUAUCAUGUGUGUUCAGAUUGUAUUUGUGGUAAAAUGUCUAGGUUGCCAUUUCCUGCUGAAUCUAAUAGGAGUUUGUUUCUUUUUGAGAAAAUCCAUUCUAACAUUUGGGGUCAUUCUCCAACUAUGUCCAUUGAAGGAUAUCGAUAUUAUGUAACCUUCGUG